rnacentral:rRNA from 1 species
GACGAACGCUGGCGGCGUGCUUAACACAUGCAAGUCGAACGAAAAGACCCUGCUCUUGUUGCUUUCUCGAUUGGCGCACGGGUGUGUAUCACGUGAGUAUCCUGUCCUUGUCUUUCGGGUAACUUCUCGAAACUCGGGCUCAUACCGGAUAUGAUCUCUUGCUGCAUGUUGGUGGUUGGAAAGUUUCGGCGGUUCGGUCUGUUCUCGCGGCUUAUCGGCUUCUUGGUGGGGUAGUGGCUUACCAAGGCUUUGACGGGUAGCCGACCUGGGAGGGUGACCGGCGACAAGGGGACUGAGAGACGGACCAGACGCGAACGGGAGGCAGCAGGGGGGAAUAUUGCAGAGUGGGCGGAAGCCAGAGGCAGCAACGCCGCGAGCGGAAAGACGGCCUUCGAGUUGUAAACCGAUUUCGAAGGAGACGAAGAGUGAGUGACGGUAAUGGGUAAAGAAGCACCGGCUAACUACGUG